rnacentral:RNase_P_RNA from 1 species
CAAGUAGGCCAGGCGAUCGCGGGCCGGUGCGCCGGUUCGAGGAAAGUCCGAGCUCCACAGAGCACAGUGCUGGGUAAUACCCAGGCGGGGCGACCCGACGGAAAGUGCCACAGAAAACAACCGCCAGAGGUCCUGCCUCUGGUCAGGGUGAAAAGGUGGUGUAAGAGACCACCGGCAGACGCGGCGACGCGCCUGGCCAGGCAAACCCCACUGGGAGCAAGGCCAAGCAUGGAGGGCCAGCCGAAAGGCUGGCAGGGCUGCUCGCCCCCUUCUCCGGGUAGGCCGCUAGAGGUUGCGGGCAACCGCAGCCCCAGAGAGAUGGUCGCCACCCGCCGACGGGUCGGCGGGGACAGAACUCGGCUUAUCGGCUUGCUUGGGCC